rnacentral:rRNA from 1 species
UACAGAGGGUGCAAGCGUUAAUCGGAAUUACUGGGCGUAAAGCGUGCGUAGACGGUUACAUAAGUCGGGUGUGAAAGCCCCGGGCUCAACCUGGGAAUUGCAUUCGAGACUGCGUAGCUAGGGUGCGGAAGAGGGAAGCGGAAUUUCCGGUGUAGCGGUGAAACGCGUAGAUAUCGGAAGGAACACCAGUGGCGAAAGCGGCUUCCUGGUCCAGCACCGACGUUCAGGCACGAAAGCGUGGGGAGCAAACAGG